rnacentral:lncRNA from 1 species
GUUUGUGCUUGUUGCACCACUCAUUUUCAGCUCUUCAGGUCCUACUCACUGGAUGAGCAGAUCAAAGAACUGAUAGGACAGAAUUAAGAACUUGGUUCUUAGUCUGUGAGGGCACGCUUAAGAGGAGAGGGUCAGACAGUCUGAUCCUUGUCAACCCCCAGGGAGCUUCGAGGAGAGCCAUGCAGUAGCGGCUACACCGGACGCAGUUGCAUGGCACAAAUUCUUUGUGGCACAUCGAUGGCAACCAUAAGCUGAUCCGGGAGGACCAAUACGCAGCGGGAAUGUGGAUACUCAUCUUUUUAAUAAAACACGAGCAAAGCAUCCACAGGAAAAAACAAUAAACAAUACUCACGACAAGAACAGUGUGGCAGGCUAAACAAAAGUAGUGCUCACAAACAACUACCCACAACCACAAAGAAAAACACACCUGUUUAUAGGACUCCCAAUCAGAGGCAACUAGAAACACCUGCCUCCAAUUGAGAGUCCAGCACCCAACCUACACAUAGAAAACCUACCUAGAACCUACACACAACACAAACCCUCUGCCACGUCCUGACCAAAACUAAUACAAUUACUCCCUCUGCUGGUCAGGACGUGACAAUAAGUAUUCAACCCCUUUGUUAUGGCAAGCCUGAAUAAGUUCAGGAGUAAAAAUGUAUCACAUAAUAAGUUGCAUGGACUGUGUGCAACAAAU